rnacentral:rRNA from 1 species
UACGAAGGGUGCAAGCGUUACUCGGAAUUACUGGGCGUAAAGCGUGCGUAGGUGGUGAGUUAAGUCUGUCGUGAAAGCCCCGGGCUCAACCUGGGAAUGGCGAUGGAUACUGGCUCGCUAGAGUGCGGUAGAGGAGAGUGGAAUUCCCGGUGUAGCAGUGAAAUGCGUAGAGAUCGGGAGGAACAUCAGUUGCGAAGGCGGCUCUCUGGACCAGCACUGACACUGAGGCACGAAAGCGUGGGGAGCAACAGG